AUGCAGGGAGGCAGUUUUAGAUGCCUAGCUGGCAUAAAGUCCAGAGAAAGGGAGGGAGAAGGGCUGAAUUUUGUAUUACUGUUCUACCUUAGGGGAUUUUCCUCAUGCCAAGAUAGGGUGUGUGUGUGUGUGUGUGUGUGCGCGCGCGCGCAGUAUAACAUUCUUUUAUGUUUCUUUUUGAGACAGAGUCUUGCUCUGUUGCCCAGGCUGGAGUGCAGUGGCAUGAACUUGGCACACUGCAGCCUUCAGGGUUCAGGUGAUUCUCCUGCCUCAGCCUUCUGAGACAGGGUCUACAAGCAUGCACCACCAUGCCCCGCCAAUUUUUUUUUUUUUGAGAGAAUCUUGCUCUUGAUGUCCAGGCAUCAAGAUUCAGGGCAGCUGGCUUACAAGGUAAGGGCCUCUACCCCUAUGAUCUCGGCUUACUGUAACUUCCACCUCCUGGAUUCAAGAGAUUGUCCUGGCUCACCUUCCUGAGUAGCUGAGAUUAUAGGUGACUACCACCAAGCCCGGUUAAUUUUGGUAUUUUUAGUAGAGACAGUGUUUCAUCAUGUUGGCAGGGCUGUUCUCAAACUCCUGACCUCAAGUGAUCUGCCUGUCUUGGCCUCCCAAAGCGCUGGGAAUACAAGUGUGAGCCACCAUGCCUGGCAUGCCCAGCCAAUUUUUGUAUUUUUAGUACAGAUGGGGUUUCACUAUGUUGACGAGGCUGGUCUUGAACUCCUGACCUCAAGUGAUCUGCCCGUCUUGGCCUCUCAAAGUGUUAGGAUUCCAGGUGUGAGCCACCGAGCCCGAUCCAUGAUAUCAUUCUUAUACCUUUGUGUCUUCAUAGCUUAGCUCCCACUUAUAAGUGAGAAUAUAGUGUAUUUGGUUUUCUAUUCCUGGGUUACUUCACUUAGAAUAAUGGUCUUCAACUCUGUCUAGGUUGCUGUGGAUGCCAUUAUUUUUUUCCUUUUUAUGGCUGAGUAGUAUUCCAUGGAGUAUCUAUAUUGCAUUUUCUUUAUCCACUCAUUGGUUGGUGGGCAUUUAGGCUGGUUCCAUAUUUUUGUAUGCAGUAUAACUUACAGAUAGUAAACAAUAUACAGCUUGAUGUAUUUUGACAUAUAAUGCAGUGUUUAACUACCACCUGGAUCAAGAUAUGAAACAUCUCCAGCACCUCAUAAGGUUCCUUCAUAUGUCUUUCCAAUCAACACUGCUUCAAAAGGAAACCCAUAUUUGGAUUUCUAUCACUGUAAAUUACCUUUGCCUGCCUUGAGCCUUAGCAUGUAUGCCUUUAUGUGUAGUUUUUUCUGCACAACAUCUUCUUAAUACUCACUGGUCUUGUUGCAUGUGUCAGACAUUCAUUUUUUUUAUUGCUGUGUAAUAUUCUAGUAUUUGCUUAUCCACCCAUGUGUUGAGGGACAUUUGUUUCCAGUUUUCAGAUAUCAUAAAUAAAGCUGCUGUCCACAAUGUUGUAUAUGUCUUUUUGUGAAGGGCAUUUUACUACUCUUGAGUGAAUUGUAGGAGUAGGCUUAUAUUUAUUUUCAAUGGGUACUGCCAAACAGUUUUCAAAGGGAUAAAACCAAAUACAGUGAUAUACAGAUAGACAGACAUACUUUAACAGGGCCUUUUCCUUAUAGAUAUCAUUCUCUAAAACCCACUAUUUACCUGCACUUAUUAUUACUGUUAUUAUAAAGGGAAAAACAGGUUUUUCUUUUGUUUUUUUGUUGCACAAGGUCUCACGCUGUUAUCCAUGCUGGAGUGCAAUGGCCUAAUCAUGGCUCACUGCAGCUUCAACCUCCUGAGCUCAAGCAACCCUCCUGCCUCAGCCACCUGAGUAACUGGGACUACAGAUGCUCACUGCCACACCCAGCUAAUUUAUGUAUUUUUCUUAGAGAUGGGGUUUCGCUGUGUUGCCCAGGCUGGUCUCAAACUCCUGGACUCAGUUAGUCCUCUCAUCUCGGCCUCCCAAAAUGCUGGGAUUACAGGCGUGUCACUACACCUGGCCAAAAAUAUAGCUAUCCUUUAUUAAGCACUUAUUUUGUGCCAGAAACAUUACAUGCAUUAUCUCAUUUCAUUUUUAUGAGAAACUAAAGGGAUUAAUAUUGUCCCCAUUUUACACUUGAGGAACCGGAGGCUCAGAGAGGGUGAGUAACUUGCCAAAGGCCCCCAGCUGAUAAGUGACCACUUGACUGUGGGCUCUGAAUUUCACUUCCGUACAUAUGCUUCUGUUUGUUCCUGCUAGGUCAGGAAGUUCUUCCUUCCAUCUGACCAAAUCUAGCUGCAGGUUAAGAGACUCAUUUCCUAUCCACCUGUGGUCCUCUCUGCAUACCUUCUCACGCCUAGACUCGAGAUCUGUGUACACACACAUAUGCACACAGUUUCUCUCCCACAGCCAUGCACACUCACUGUGAAGAAGAAGGGGAUGGGGCCAAUUUGGUGAAGAUUUAAGAGCUUGCCAAGUCCUGGGCUCAGCAACCUAAUGGGGUCCCUCUCAGAGAAUUUGCAGAAGAUUGGACAAAGAUUGGUCUAGGGACCAGUCUGUUUCUGGAUGCUAUAGAGGAUAAUUCAGAGGCUUUUUUUCCCUGGGAAGAGAUGGGAAUUUGGUUCUCCUCCCAGCAUGUUGAGCCAAGCCCAUGGUGGGCUGCAGAGGCUGAUGCCUAGGGCAUCCCUCUGCAAAGUUUGUCCAGAGAUGUUGCACUUUGCCGUGGAAGGUGGUUAGUGGGGAGGAUGUGUGUGGUCUGAGCAGGAAGUCUGGGGAACUGCCCCUCUGGGCAGAGUGCUUGACUAGGCCCUGCACGGAAUGGUCACUGCAGGAGGGAAAACAAGCAGCCUCCUCCUCGGGACCAUGGGUUACCAAAUCUCCAAGUCUCCAAGCCCCUAAGCUUGACUGAGAGAAGCAUUGCUACUCCGUGGGUAGAGGCCAUAUGUGGGUUUUCUAUGCUUUGCAGGUGGCCCCUCCUCAGGCCCCUUUCUAGACUAAUUGAGGUCCUGCUGGGCUCUGGGUUUGUAAUUGGGGUAAUUGCUGACAGGCUGCUGUGGUGGUACAAGCAGUUUUUUGUUGGGGAAACGGUAGUCAGGAUUAUGGGGUUUUGGGUGGGGACAGUCCAGGAUCCCUGUUCCAGGAAGCUCUUGUCUUUGGCCUUUUGCUUGGAGGCAGGACUCCUGAGGACCAGGGACUGGUAGCAUAUCUGAACAGGAAGAGACCU
rnacentral:lncRNA from 1 species